ensembl:misc_RNA 7SK 7SK RNA
GGAUGUGAGGGCGAUCUGGCUGUGACAUCUGUCACCCCAUUGAUCGCCAGGGUUGAUUCGGCUGAUCUGGCUGGCUAGGCGGGUGUCCCCUUCCUCCCUCACCGCUCCAUGUGCGUCCCUCCCGAAGCUGCGCGCUCGCUCGGUCGAAGAGGACGACCAUCCCCGAUAGAGGAGGACCGGUCUUCGGUCAAGGCUAUACGAGUAGCUGCGCUCCCCUGCUAGAACCUCCAAACAAGCUCUCAAAACUAGCAAUAGUGAUCCUGGGGAUGUGGCAAUAAUCAAAUGCUACUAGACUGUUGGUGAGAAUGUAAACUUGUUCAACAACUCU